CGAAGUUCUAACCGAAAACAGAAGGCGGCUGUCUUCUUCUUCUCCUCGGGGCGCCCCCUCUCCUCCUCAAGCGCUUCCUCACAGCCAGGGGCUUCAGCUUCUAGUGGCAACAGCGCAGGCAUCCGGAGCUGAAAA